rnacentral:rRNA from 1 species
GAUGAACGCUGGCGGCGUGCCUAAUACAUGCAAGUCGAGCGAACAGACGAGGAGCUUGCUCCUUUGACGUUAGCGGCGGACGGGUGAGUAACACGUAGGUAACCUACCUAUAAGACUGGGAUAACUUCGGGAAACCGGAGCUAAUACCGGAUAAUAUUUCGAACCGCAUGGUUCGAUAGUGAAAGAUGGCUUUGCUAUCACUUAUAGAUGGACCUGCGCCGUAUUAGCUAGUUGGUAAGGUAACGGCUUACCAAGGCAACGAUACGUAGCCGACCUGAGAGGGUGAUCGGCCACACUGGAACUGAGACACGGUCCAGACUCCUACGGGAGGCAGCAGUAGGGAAUCUUCCGCAAUGGGCGAAAGCCUGACGGAGCAACGCCGCGUGAGUGAUGAAGGUCUUGGGAUCGUAAAACUCUGUUAUUAGGGAAGAACAAACGUGUAAGUAACUGUGCACGUCUUGACGGUACCUAAUCAGAAAGCCACGGCUAACUACGUG